UCGGUUUCAAAAUGGGUUACAAGGGAUAAUGUCGGGUGUAGGGUAGGCUGAACAAAGAAGAAAAUUGGUUUAAAGUGUGGCGUUGGGAUGGGUAAAUAAUGGUAGGUAGGGAAACUUGAUGAUCGGAGUAAUAAGUGAUAAUGAUAAAAACUCGCAAGACUUUUCACUUUUUUUUUCUUUCUUCUUUUUUUUAACUCGAUUUUUUUGUCACUUCUUUUUUUUCUUUCUUUUUCGAUUUUUUUUUGAAUUUUUUCCCGAAUUUCUUCUCUUUUUUUUAAAUCCAAUACAAUAGUAAACUAAAUACAAGGAAGAGAAAAAAAAUAAAUUCCAACUCAAAAUUUUUUUUGACUUUUUUUUACGUUACGAACCUACUUCGAGCUUGAUACGAAUGUCGACACUCCUCGUUUUAGUAGCUCUGAUAUCAAAUAAUGUGAUUCAGCCCGAGUUAAUUGAGUCGUUUCGCGAAGUUGCCCGAUCGUCGAGGAGGAGUAGUUAGAGUUGUCAAAAUUGGGUGAUUUAGGCUAAGGGUUGCCGAAGCUUUGAGAGGGGUUUAGAUGAGUGGUUUGGUGUUGAUAGGUUCAGUUUAGAAUAGAAACAAGGUAAGUUAGAAAAAGGUAAUUGAUGGAGAUGGAAAAUAGAACUUAAACGUCAAGAAUAUUCAAUACUAAAAAGUAUUGCCUGAGUCUUAUAUUGCUUAAGGUGAAAUUUGAU
rnacentral:lncRNA from 1 species